AUGGGGUCUGUCUUAGACUUUAAUAAAGCACCUCUUAAUAGUGAACAGCCAACAAGAUCUCAUUGUAAUGAUAACCAGCAUUUGUAUAUAGCGGGUGUAAAGCCUUCUCAUGCAUAUUUUCAUUUGAUUCUCAAAACAGUCCUGGGAGGUAGUAUCACCAUCUACACUGACAACGAAGGGGCUGAGGCUCAGAGAGGUGAAAUGACUUCCCCAAGGUCACCCAGUUAUUGCAAGGCAGAAUCAGGACUCAGCCUCCAUUUUCUGCCGUCAAACUUCAUACUCCACACUGUUCACUCCACCACUUGAUGGGGUCCCUCAUGCCACGUGGCAGGCUCAUCUUGAAGGAAUUUGCACAGUAAACUUCCAGUUAGGGAGGAGCCUGUGCUCUCAUGAAGCCCCAUCCUUGCAAUGCUGGGGGUAACUGAGUGGAUGAGUUUUCUGAGAUCCUUUGAGAUGGCAUCUCCCACUAUCUUCUUUUUUUCUUUUGGAGAGCUCUAAUAUGAAAGCCUAUGUACCAGUGAGAGUUCAGCGGAAGGUGUCUUAGUGACAAACAUGAAAACCUGAANNNNNNNNNNNNNNNNNNNNNNNNNNNNNNNNNNNNNNNNNNNNNNNNNNNNNNNNNNNNNNNNNNNNNNNNNNNNNNNNNNNNNNNNNNNNNNNNNNNGAGAGUUCAGCGGAAGGUGUCUUAGUGACAAACAUGAAAACCUGAAUUUAAUAGUCAAGUGCCAACUGACUGACAGUCCCUGGACAGCCAGUUUGAUUUUUCUUUCAUUAACUGAAGGGCCCAACACAGGUGAUCACUGGUGGGUUACCGGGAUGUGGACUUCCUAGGGGGAAUCAGGAUACUGCCCUACAUUUUCAUCCUCUCUGCUUCUGAAGAAGACAGGGAGCAGGGGCCUGGAAGUAGAGCUGAAGCUGUGUGCCCUGUUUUACUUCCUUUAUCCCCAGGGUUUUUUUCUGAACUGCCUUAUCAGAGCAUAGAUAAAAUCAAUUUGUAUUCUGUUUGUGCAGCUAAAGUUUGGCUGCCAAAUAAUGGUUAAUUUAAUAAUCAGGUCAACUUAGAGAUAAUAAACAAAAUACUAAUACAAAUGAAUUAGCUUUUCAAGCAAGAAAUAAAUUAUUUGUUCAUUCUUUCCAGAACCACUUUUGAACACUGGGUUACACUGAGCAUACAAAUGAAUGUCCGUCCCCAUGCAGCGUGGCCAAUGACUGGAUUGAACACACUUGGGGAUCUGAGUCUCGGCUCUCAGGCUUCUUCACAUGAGAUUACAUGUACGGUGAGGUGAACUAAACGCACGUUUGCCUACUGCAUGUCUAUUCAUCUUUCCAAAGCCCUCAUUGGCUGUGGGCACCCGUGAGGCCAUCCUAUUGUUAGCAAAUGAAACUUGCAGAUCUUCACCCCUCUUACAUGACUAGAGGGACUGAGUCUCUGGCUGCAUCUUCCUACUGGCUGCAUUGGAUCCCUAGACAGCCCCCUCCUGCCCUCACGCCUGGCGUUUUGUUGGUGUCCACGCUUGUCACUGGCUGGAGCACGACCCCUAUCGCACCCACAGUCAAGGAAGCCCUCCUUAGAAACUCAUCUUUUCUGGUUAAAGGGCUGUUUCUAUGCCUCCACUGAGAAACUGGACAGAUGGUUUGCCCCUGACUCUGUAUUUUUUCGCUACUAUUUAGGCCCAAAUACAGGCUGCGUGUCUCAUUGAGCCCAGCCUGAAAACAGCCCUUUCCGCGCCUGUCUGCAGCAACCUGCUUCCCCAGAGGUGACUCUCGAUCUGCAGUCUGGCUUAGGGACAGACGGUCACUUCCCUUGUGUAUUCCAUGACUGUCCCUCAGACGGCACACACAGGACUCCAUCCCCGUGUCCACGGAGCUCCUCUCCUCUCCCUCUUCACCUCCCGAUCACCUCCCCACUCCAUCUACCAUACUUCACAGAUGCUCCGCCAUUACCGUAUCAGAAUCGCAUAUCUGGUCCUCUCAUUACAAUCAUAUAUUUUCAGAGGACAAAUAGAUUGCUGACUAAACAAGCCAAAUUCUGGUCAGUGAAUACAGAGACCCGAUUUAUUGAUUGGACACUACUUACUAGUUAUGUGAACAUCAAUAAAUAGGACAGGUUGGGAUUUCACUGUCUUAACAGGAAAUGGGCUCCACCAGCUCUGAAUUUCCUUCAUAAUCGCUUUUGUGAAUUAGAGCUUUUGUGUUCUGGCUUCCACCUGCCAGUGCAGGAGAUGUGAGAGGCUUGAGUUCAACCCCUGGGUUGGGAAGAUUCCCCUGGAGGAGAAAAUGUCAAGACGCUCCAGUAUUCCUGCUUGGGAAAUUCCAUAGACAGAGGAGCCCGGCGGGUUGUAGCCCAUGAGGUUGCAAAGAGUCGGACACGACUGAGUGCCUGAGCACAUCCUUGCUUCAUACCUGUUAGAGAGCCCUGUGUUCUGGGAGCAUCCAGUUUCUGACAGUGACUGGUGUCAUUGGGCAGCAUCAUUUCUAGUUAUGAUUCAUUGUUCAUCCAUUCAUUUCCCAGUUACUGAGCAUCUACUAUGCACCAACUACCCUUCUGGGCACUGGGAUCUACCAGGGGACCAAAAGACAAAAUAGCAGCUAUUACAGAAAUUCUAUUUUAGCUUAGGGGAGAGAUACUGUAUAAUAUAUACACAUGUGAUUUAAAGUUAGAUAGCAAUGAGUGAUGAAGACAGAAUAGGGCUGGUGGUGGAGGAUGCAAUAUUAGGAGGAAACAUAUGAGCAUUGACUUGAGUGAAGUUCUCAAGCAGCCCUGUGACAAGUCAGAAUGUCUCAGGCAGAGGGAACAGCCAAUGCUAAGGCCCUGAGGCAGGUGCAUACUCGGUGGGUUUGUGGAAUCACAGGAAGCCCCAUGCAGCUGGGGCUGAGAGAGCAAAGACCAAGGGGAGGACAAGAGGCUGUGGAAGGGACAGGGGUUGGGCUGGAAACCCUCAUGAACUUGGCUGAGGCAUUUGAAUUACAGCUGCAGGACAUGAGAAGUCACCUGGAGACUAUAAGCAGGGAGGGACAGGAUGCGAUCUGUGUUUUGAAGGGAUAAUUCUGUCUGGUGAGUAGUGAAUGAGAAGGAGGGAUGGGCAAAAGGGUAGAANNNNNNNNAGGCAGGGGGUUGUAAGAGACCUCAUCAGGACUUUAGAAGAGUGCCAUGAGGAGAUUCUCAGCGCAACGAAGGGACAAAGGAAUCAGAGAAAAUGAGUAUAUAGAAACCUUUAGAUCAGCCAGUCCUGAUGGGGCUCAACUUAGGGUCACAGCAUGUACCUCUGUGGGUGAAAUCUCAUGGUACUUUUGUUUCCUACAUAUAUUCAUGCUUCAGCAUACAGAUAUUUGAGGAAGAAAUAUUAAUUCUCUGUGCGUCCCUGUGAUUUUCCUGGAUACCGCAUCUAUCACAUUUCUUUCUAUAUCACAUCUGCUAUUCUCCGUAAGAUCCGACGCGACGGUGUCAUCAGGCACUUUUCUCCUUUCCCCACAAGUUUUGUUUCACCGUCCUCUUGGUCAUCUGGCCAAACGUGUGCCUUCCUCUCUUCCCACGGGUAUUCUCCGUUUGUUGACAUGCCCACCACAUUUGUCUGAUAAGCUACGGUUUCACAGACACACUGCUGUGCUGUAGUCCUAAACACAUAACCACAUUUAAUUUUCUCCUUUCUGCAUUUGAUUCCUGACCUUGUCUUCCGUGCUGGAAAAGAUGGAAACCUCAUCUAAGCUCUCCCUGCGGCAUCUUCUCUGAGCCCCCACUGUCAUUAGAGCUGUGUCUGCUCCAUGAUCUCCUGCCUGGGCCAAAUGUUUAGAAUAAAACCAGAGUGAGGGCCAUCAUGGGGCUGGUGAGUCUUGGCUGCCUUUCCAUGUUACUUUACAGCCCAAGAAACUUCUUAAAUAACCUUGGCAGGUUUUCAUAUAAUCCCCUCUAUUUUCCUUUUUAGGAUAAGACCUACUCCUACAAACACAUCCUUUCUUGCCCUCAGAGGAGUAUGCCUGCACAUUCUCCUUUGAGCUCAUUUAAUCUGAAACUACUUCAUCUCAGAAGUUCCACCUGCUUCUGUGGGCAAAGUUCUAACAUCUUCCUUCCUUUUCCUUUGCAAAUUUUUUUUUUCUUGCAUACAUCUUUGCUUCUGCUGUUGCUAAGUCACUUUGGUCGUGUCCGACUCUGUGUGACCCCAUAGACGGCA
ensembl:lncRNA